UACGGAGGGUGCAAGCGUUAUCCGGAUUUACUGGGUUUAAAGGGUGCGUAGGUGGGCGAGAAAGUCAGUGGUGAAAUCUCCGGGCUUAACCCGGAAACUGCCAUUGAUACUAUUUGUCUUGAAUACUUUGGAGGUAAGCGGAAUAUGUCAUGUAGCGGUGAAAUGCUUAGAUAUGACAUAGAACACCAAUUGCGAAGGCAGCUUACUACACAACGAUUGACGCUGAGGCACGAAAGCGUGGGGAGCGAACAGG
rnacentral:rRNA from 1 species